UACUGUUUUGACGUUCAGCCAGUUGAAAAUUGGUCGUAUACAAUGCACACGUCCAGCAGCUGCUAUUGCGCGAUGGCUUUCGCCAAACUGAACAGUAUAGCUGCAGAGUUAUGGCCCGUCUCAUCAUCAUAAUCGGGCCGUGGACGAUAGAAUUUUCUACCCAAUCUCACGCUUCUCAUCAUUGCGACCUCCCACGGUUGUCAUUAAAAGUCCGCCAUUUAAAGUUUUUGAUAUAAUUUUGUUUUCUUUCCUUGGCUCCAUUUUUUUUCCCCUCUUGUUUUUAUCCCAUCAGCGUGCAAUAUCGUAAAAGAAUAGCCACACUUAUGAUGCGCGAUUAUCCGUGUUUUGAUUAGAUAAUGACGGAGAGACCAGGGACGUUUUGUCGAUUCAAGCGUGUAUUUAUUAAGUAAAAUUUGUUUGAGGGCUGGCUUUCCCUCUCGCUGCACACACAUAUCUCAUGGUGAGAUAUCGAGUUGAUGUACCUAAAAAUAAGAAUUCAGCCAUUUUCAAUGUGGUUGAUGCUUGUAACAAUCCCACUACUUUUUCCCCCGCAGAAAAACAAAGAAAAAAAUUUCAUCGUCAUUCCAGUUUUUUCUUUUUGUCUUUACGAGCUCCAGAUGUUUUUGGCGUGCCAGUCUUUCAGUCAGCCAUAAUAGUAGCACGGCGGCUUGUCAUUUUUUUUGUGUUUUGUUUUUUCUCUUUCACAGUCUGUUUAGCCAAUGUCCCAUUAUGCAUCGGCGUGUGCUGGUAGCGCACGCAUGUAGUAUCUCUUUCACCUGAAUUUCGUCAUCGAGAUUGAAGCCACCACCACAUCCUCUUCAUUCUUUUGUUGGACUUCAAAAUCGACAUCAUUUAACUUAGUUUUUCUUGUCUUUAUAUGCAUUCCAGAACGAAACAAACUACAAAGCUGAUUAGUCGCAACAGUUGCGUUCUUUUUAUUUUUUUUACGACCAGUUGACUUUCCCCUCCUUGUUCCAUUGAUACUUUCCAUCGGUCGAAAAUAAAGUCCAACUUGCCUCGAUUUUUUUGGGUUUUUUUUAGACCCACGGUGGAUGAGCUCCGGUACGGUUGAUUUUCUUUCCAUUCAUGAAAUGAUGCGGGCCGUUUUUUUUUCUUUUCAAUUUCUCGGUCUAUUAGUGCCGUCCGAUGAAAGAAAGCAAAGCAUAUUAUUAAGUCGUCAAAUAUCGACACUUACGCAACUAACGUGCACGCCACAGGUGGUGUAUAUAUACGCCAUUCUCUUCUUCCAUUGUUUUUUUUUUUAACAGGCUGUGCAAUUGAUUUUUUUAUUAAACGCCCACGGGAUCUACGAGGAGAUUUAUUGUUGAUUGGAUCUUUGGAUAGAAAUCUAUAUAUACCCACCAACUGGACAUGAUUUCGGAAAGUAUUAUUAUUUAUUGGAUUACAUUGAUUUAUUUAAAACAUUCUUUGUGUACUUUCUUUUGGAAAUACCAGGAUCCGUGACGCCGAGUGCAAUGUUGCAUGUAAAACCAAUCGUUCAACAUGCCUUUUCUCUUUUGUUUUAUUUUAUUUUUUUCCUCCUUCUUCAACAUCCAUAGUCUUCUUCUUAUCUGGAACAUUCAGGUAGGUCGUUUACGUAUCUCCCCCCCCUCCCCCCCGCACGGGUACUAUUACGUAUUUGUUAAUCGUUCUGCGUAACAACAAAUUAGUUCGAUCUUUAUAGUCAUUUGGUGUUCUUUUACACCUAUUUGAAAAACCAAUAGUGAAGACCUAGACAAAAAAAAAACAACACACGUGUGGGGGGGGGGUAGCACGAGAGCAUGUCGAAGUGAAAUUCGAAAGAGUAUACGAGGAAAGAGAGAUUACCCUAAUUGUCUAGAUGGAGACAGUACUACAAAGUGUGACCGAAUCCAACGUGUGGCGGUGUUGCUCAUAAAAUUCGCCGAACCAUUUCGUCCGGUGCAGUACAAGAGUCAAUGCGGCUAUUGAGAUGGGGGGGAUCACGGUUUGCUUGCCAUGUGUCCACUCGGCGAUUGUCGUGAUCAAACAAACGGAACUGUUUGAUGAUGAAACAACUGCACACAAUCGAAUCACUCUUCUUUUCCUUAAUUUACUUCUUUUUUUUUUUUUAUUAUUCCUUUCAAGUGAAUGCACAAUGUUUCGUUCAAAACAUCGGAAGGCCCAAGAGAGAAAGCUCCAAACAGUAACUCAUAAAACCAGUUUUUUUGUUGUUGUUUAAAAAUAAGAAUACAUUAGGCAACAAAAUUCCAUAUUUCUUGGCUUAAAAAAAAAAAAAUAGGAUUCUUGCCGUGUUUAGAGGCCGUUAAUGUAGGUAAGGAACAUUUGAAAAAGAAAAGAAGAAAAAAAAAGGUAAUUGGGUCACUUCUCCGAAGUGAACACGGAGGAACAAACAAGAAAGAAAGAACGAAAAAAAAGUGGGGAAAAAUUGUUUAUGACAGUGGUCUACCUUGUGUGCGACGUUGAAAUCGCGAGAAAGUUUAUUUUAUUUUCCGGUCUAGUGUUUUCAGAGCCGAUUUGCAGCUGCACACGCAGCAGGUCCGGUGUUCUUCAUCUUCAAUUUCUGAUAAUGGAGUUAUAGGCUACAGGGUACGUAUCCAAUAUACUCAAAUAAUUAUGAUAGAAGUGAGUCUAGAACGCACAUAUCCCGCCGAGAUCGUAACAGAAGAGAGAAACAAGAGAAUGUUGCCUUCCACAGGUAUUUCUUAGCAGAUGUACGUAUGUACGCGUAUAGUGUAGCUGUAAUAGCCUUUAGCCAAAUAAGGACACGCGGCAGAUGGUCUAAUUGCAUAGCUGCUGUUUGCACCCAAAACUGUUUUGAAAGCAAAUAUAACACAAUAAGCUUAUGCACAGGCGUGUCAGUUUAAUGCAAUAACCACGUUGCUCAAUCAUUAAUUAGUUUUUUUUUUCUGUUUUGGGAGAGCUGGGACAUCUUGUUGCACAAUCCUAGUGCCGUUUCUCUCUUUUGUUUGUGUGACAGAAACAUGAUGAUACCGGGGAUUCGGGGAACCAAUAAGCAGACUCCAAGCGUGUACCACUAAAAAAAACUAAAAAAAAUGUGGGUUUUUUCAUCGACCAACGAACGAAAUCCACAAGGUACGCUUUCUAUCUACCAUAUAAGCUCUCAAUUCACUCUUUUUCUUUUAUCUAUUUUUAUUUGGACCAACAGCAGAUUCACCGCGUUGAGCAUGCGAAUUCGUGGCCUUUGUUUUCAAUUUGGUGGAGGGCCGAUGACGAUGGUUCUUUUCUCUCUUUUGCUCAUUUUCACUUUGUUUUCUCCUUCUGCAUGUGCUAGACUCGACUUCAGCUUUACAAAACCAUCAUGUAAAAAAUGAAAAAGAAAAAAAAAGGACGCAUUUUUUUUUUAAAUUUCUUUUGUUGUAAAGCUUACGUUAUGUAGCCUUUUUAGUCGUACAAAAUUUUGGUCGUCUGAGAUGCAAUUACAGCGCUUCGCGGUCGAUGUUAUAGGCCCACCACAA